GGCGCUCACCACAACAUGGCCGCUCGGAGACUGGAGGACCGAGAUGUGUGAUCUAGAUCUAGGUCAGCGGCUGUCGAGGUGAUCACGUCUGCUGUCACCACAAGCUGGUACAGAGAGGGCGAUAUCAAAGCUGCUACCUUUGAGAACAAAUUAAAACCAUCAAACCUUUUUUAAAAUCUAAAAUGCAGAAAGACGGUGAUACUCACUAAAAGUUCUCCCAAUACAAGAAUCGAACUCAGAUCUUCAGCGUGCUGCAGCUAAGCGCUUAACCGUUACAGCACAGACGACGGCGAACUUUAAGUGGAAACAGUAGACAUACGACUACCAUGUGAAACAUUACUGACUACCUAUUUCAUUUUUUUUCACUGUUCAGUCUACGUUUAGUGUCGUUUAGUGCCCCAUGCUCAAUUUAAAUAAAAAAUCAUAGUAAACAGGCACAUGUACAUGAGAAACUCAAAUAAACUGAUCCCACAUCAAGGUGAAGACAUGACUAAAAAUACAAAAGUAAUUUACAUUG